rnacentral:rRNA from 1 species
ACGCACGCUGGCGGCGUGCUUAACACCUGCAAGUCGAACGGAAAGGCCCUGCUUUUGUGGGGUGCUCGAGUGGCGAACGGGUGAGUAACACGUGAGUAACCUGCCCUUGACUUUGGGAUAACUUCAGGAAACUGGGGCUAAUACCGGAUAGGAGCUCCUGCUGCAUGGUGGGGGUUGGAAAGUUUCGGCGGUUGGGGAUGGACUCGCGGCUUAUCAGCUUGUUGGUGGGGUAGUGGCUUACCAAGGCUUUGACGGGUAGCCGGCCUGAGAGGGUGACCGGCCACAAUGGGACUGAGAUACGGCCCAGACUCCUACGGGAGGCAGCAGGGGGGAAUAUUGCACAAUGGGCGGAAGCCUGAUGCAGCAACGCCGCGUGCGGGAUGACGGCCUUCGGGUUGUAAACCGCUUUCGCCUGUGACGAAGCGUGAGUGACGGUAAUGGGUAAAGAAGCACCGGCUAACUACGUG